rnacentral:lncRNA from 10 species
ACAGGGCAACAUCAAACAGAAGGAAACAGAAGACAGAAGACCCAGAGCAACAGAUACCCAGUUUUUCAGCUCCAUUAACUGAAAGACUCUUUUCCUGAAUGUUGUCCUUGCAUCAUUGCACAAAAUCAGCUUACCAUAAAGAGGAUUUACUGAAAUCCUGAAACUUAGGAGUCAGCAAGUUUUUCAUUUGUGUUUGUCAAAUGUCAAGAAAAGCUGAGGAGUUACAAGAAACUCAGUGAUCCCUGACAGCUCUCUGCAAUUGCAGCAAAAUCUGAGCAAGACUGACAGAAACCACUCGGGGACAAACAUCUGACUUCCACAGCAGUUAAAAUCAUUGAAUACAGAACCAAAAUGUCUUCAUGUGAAAAACUCCAUCAAGACCCAAGAAAACUUCUGACUCAUUAGUAGUUUAGGGACCUUAAAUGCUAUUGGGGGAGAAAGGUUUCUGAGAAGAGAAGAUGUCUGUAUCAAGAACAAGUACAAGAAAACUGGACAAAAUAUGCAUGUGUGUAGGAUCUGCAGCGGAUGGGGACAUGAACCAAGGGCAUGAAUUUAAGACAAUAAGCAGCAUUUGAAAAAUAAGAAAGGGUUGUAGGAUUUUUCUUCUCAGUCACUUUGCAAGCCAGGGACCCUCGAUCGAUGACGCCCCGCCCGGGCCUUGCUCUGCCACGCUGCAUGCCCCAGCUCGCCUGUGUGAUAGCUUGUACCCACGUUCAGUGGUUCCUGAGCUUUUGCACCCUGCCC